CCAAUAGCGUAUAUUAAAGUUGUUGCAGUUAAAAAGCUCGUAGUUGAAUUUCGGAAUUUUUUUAUCGGUUGAAUCAACAGGUUCUUACUGAUUUUAAGAAUUUCUACCUUCUGGAGAACAUUCAUGUCAUUUAUUUGAUGUUUUGGGAAACCAGGACUGUUACCUUGAAAAAAUUAGAGUGUUUAAAGCAGGCUUAUUUCUGCAUAUAUUAGCAUGCAAUAAUAAAAUAGGACGGCAUGCUUCUAUUUUGUUGGUUUCUAGGAUCACCGUAAUGAUUAAUAGGGAUAGUUGGGGGCAUUAGUAUUCAAUUGUCAGAGGUGAAAUUCUUGGAUUUAUUGAAGACUAACUUCUGCGAAAGCAUUUGCCAAGGAUGUUUUCAUUAAUCAAGAACGAAAGUUAGGGGAUCGAAGACGAUCAGAUACCGUCGUAGUCUUAACCAUAAACUAUGCCGACUAGGAAUCAGACGAAGUUAAUUUUUUAAUGACUCGUUCGGCGCCUUACG
rnacentral:rRNA from 1 species